ACUUAAAUAGCUUAUAGAGUAGAGCACAGUAUUGAAGAUACUGAGGAAAAUGAAUAUUUUUUGAGUA
rnacentral:tRNA from 1 species